UACAGAGGUCUCAAGCGUUGUUCGGAUUCAUUGGGCGUAAAGAGUGCGUAGGCGGUUAACUAAGUUUGGUGUGAAAUCUCCCGGCUUAACUGGGAGGGUGCGCCGAAAACUGGCUAGCUAGAGUGUGGGAGAGGAUAGUGGAAUUCCUGGUGUAGCGGUGAAAUGCGUAGAUAUCAGGAGGAACACCGGUGGCGAAGGCGGGUCUCUGGGCCGUAACUGACGCUGAGGAGCGAAAGCGUGGGGAGCGAACAGG
rnacentral:rRNA from 1 species